rnacentral:lncRNA from 1 species
UUUUUUUUUUUUUUUUUUUUUUUGGCAUUUUAUUUUAGGGCAGCACAGAAGCAUAUAGAUGUUACCAGGGUAGGGGUCGAAUCAGAGUGACAGCUGCCAACCUAUACCACAGCCACAGCAACGCCAGAUCUGAGCCGCAUCUGUGACCUACACCACAGCUCAUGGCAACGCCAGACCUUUAACCCACUGAGUGAGGCCAGGGAUCGAACCUGUGUCCUCAGAGAUGCUGGUCAGAUUUGUUUCCACUGAACCUCCAUCCUCCAAGACUAUUCUUAAGCCUUCACCAAAACAUUUGGUAACUUAUCUGCUUGCACUCGGAUGUGGCAUACUUCCCUUUAAACCCAUAUUGAUUCAUCUAUUCUUCUCUAAUGGAAUUUGUGUGUGUGUGUGUGUGUGUGUGUGUGUGUACAUAUACAUGUAUAUUUAUAUAUCUUUCACUUCUUCCACUAUUUGACUCUAAUAAAGAUCUGAAGCAGCAGUGCUACGUUUUUACCUCUGUAUUUUCAUAGGCAUUUGCACAUGGAUGCUUAAUACGCGAUUAUUGAAUUCCUUAAAGUUGGAUUGAAAUGAUAGGAAGUAGAAGGGGCUCUUUAAGAGACAAAAACCCGUAGUGGCCGGUCAUACCAUUCCUCCCGUGUUCGAGAGUAUUCGUCCUGCUUGAAUGAAUGCCCAGCUGAGUUUCUGCAUUCGUGAUUCACCCAGAUCGCGUGCUUUACCCCUUGAGAGUCCUCUAGUUACUCCGUAACAUCCCUAAGUCUUGAUCAAAUAUCUGGGGACACAUCCUUAAAAUAUCUUCUCGAAUAUAAAUAACUAUAAAUGUCAACAGACACUGUGGUAGCUAUAUGUCAGGACUUGAAUCAGGAAGAGUUGGGAGACCUCGAUUGCAGCCUCAGAAAGAUCAUUAAAUGGCUGUAGAACAAGGCUAUUGGACCUCUGCGAUUUCCUUUUCGGGCCUCUGUACGCAGCGAAAGUGCGAUAAUUGGAUAGCUAACGGUAUGGUGCCUUAGGAUCUCAUUCAGGCGCUGGAUCAGUGGUCUGCCAUCCUGGCUGCCCAUUAAAAUCACCUGGGGGUCUUUAAAAAUACUAUUGUCUGCCUCCUCCCCCACCACGGGAUGAUCUCAGAGGUUAUCACCCCGGCAUCAGAACAUCUUUAAGCUCCCCCAGUCAUGCCAAAGGGCAGCCGAGGUUGAAAAUCUCUCCCCUAGACGGAUGCUUUCCAGAUGUUCAUGUCGGGACCUUUGCAGAGUCUGAUGCCUCAGGUCUGAGAAGGGGCCUGCGAUUUGACAUGUUUAAUAAGCUCCCAAGAGAUGUCAGUGGACCACACUUUAAAGAGCAAGACUCAUUUGGUUCCGCAUACAUUCCUUGAAGAGCUGUUCCCGGAAAGAGUCGCGUAACUGCCUAUGGGCUGCAUUACGAGGCUGAAUAGGUGCCUCCGAGAUUCAGGGGCUGGCUAGUCUUCAGACUCUGGGGAGGAACAGAGCGCGUCUAACUUCAGCAGAACUUAGGAAAUGCUCCAGAAGGCAGUGGAGACAAUAGGUCUCAGCAGAGCUACAACAGCAAGAGAUGUUUAAGAGACUGUGCUGGGUACCCAGAAACAUGGGGUGAAGGCUAGCGGAGGGCCUUCAGUCAUAAACUUGCCAUUGCUUUCCCAAUACUCAGAGUCUCACAGUUUCUCACAUUCCCCCACCUCAUCCAGACAGGGCAGCAAUUAAUUCAAACAACACUAAUGGACCUUCCAUGGAGGCUGUCAUUUAUUCAUUGCCUCCCACCCCCAAAUGCACCCUUCUACACUCUGCUAUAUAAUUCUGAACUUUUUUUUGUCUUUUUAGGGUCACACCCAUGGCAUAUGGAGGCUCCCAAGCUAGGGGCUGAAUCAGAGCUCUAGCUGCUGGCCUACACCACAGCCACAGCAACGCUGGAUCCGAGCUGCAGCUUUGAUCUGCACCACAGCUCAUAACAAUGCCAGCUCCUUAACCCACUGAGCAAGGCCAGGGAUUGAACCUGCGUCCUCAUGGAUAGUAGUCAGAUUCAUUUCUGCUGAGCCACGAUGGGAACUCCAUGCUAUAUAAUUCUGGGACCAAAACCCUGCAAAUGGUAUUUCUCUUUUGCUUGCUGGCUCUAAGGGAACCAACUGUCCUAUUUUGCCUACAUCUGGCCCCCCUGUUGCAUCAAAAGCUCCCCAUCCCAGGGAGCCCCUUAGUUUGGGAUAAACCAGGGUGGUUAGUUCUUCUAGGUGACUUGCUGUUAGGUUCUACAAAUAGGCGGCACUAAGGGAAGACUGGGAAGGCGGGAUAAGAGCUGUCUUCUUUCUCAGUGUGCUUGCCGUUCCUGUCAUCACCACCCCACUGGUGACAGGUACCAGCAGCAGUUGGUCCCAGCCUCCUGCUCUUUCUAGCUCUCCAGAUCCAGCUUUCUUGCUCCACUCAGAUGCCAAGGAAGCUGGGCAGUACCCCUCCCCAGAGGCUCACGGGAAGCUCUCUGGGGGAAGUGCUAGUUGAGAUGGAUUUCAACUGGGGCUUUAAUAAAAUCAAAAAAGUGAUGGCAUUUCAGGUAAGGCCAAGGCCCGAAGAUGUAUAAGAGCUUAGCGUGCUCUAGGAGUAACUCAGCAUGGCCAGAAUGAGAAUGAUGGGCUGGGAAGUAGCAGACAGUCCAGUUCAUACUUGUCUUAGACUGCUCAGGCUGCUAUCAUAAAAUACCAUAGGCCGGGCAGCUUAAACAAUAGAAAUUUAUUUCUCACAGUUCUAGGGGCUGGAAAAGCCAAGAUGAAGGUGCGGGCUGAUUCGGUUCCCAGAGAGAGCAUGCUUCCUGGCUUGCAGACAGCUUGCCUUUUUAUUUUUUUGCUGGGUUUUCACACGGCAAAGAGAAGCAGCUCUGGUGUCUCUCUCUUUGCUCUGGUGUCUCUCUCUUUUCUUACAAGGGCACUAAUCCCAUCACAGGGGCUCCACCCUCCACCCUCAUGACCUCAUCUAAAGCUAAUUAAUUACCUCCCAUAAUGUGAGAAAAAGAGUGUGUGUGUGUGUGUGAUGGCUGGGUCACUUUGAGGUACAGCAGAAAUUGACAGAACACUGGAAAUCAACUAUAAUAGAAAAAAAAAUUUAAAUCUUAGGAAAAAAAAAACCCUAAUACACCAAAGUGAAUAAAUAAACAACCUAAUUAUCUCCCAAAGGCCUCACUUGCUAAUUUUUUUACCACCUUGGGGGUUAGGGCUUGGAUGUAUGAGUUUAGGGGUAGCAAAAACAUUCGGCCUGUUGCAGAACUUCAAGGUUAAGAUGUUCCUAAUUUAUCCUGGAAUCUUCAAGCCUUUUUUUUUUUUUUUUUUUUUUUCCCCUGUCUUUUUGUCUUUUUAGGGCCACACCCGCAGCACAUGGAGGUUCCCAGGCUAGGGGUCAAAUUGGAGCUACUACACGACAGCCACAGCAAUGCCAGAUCCGAGCCGCAUCUGCGACCUACACCACAGGUCACGGCAACGCCGGAUCCUUAACCCCCUGAGCAAGGCCAGGGAUCGAACCUGCAUCCUCACAGAUGCUGGUCAGAUUCAUUUCCACUGUGCCACGACGGGAACUCCCUGGAACCUUUAAGCUAUUAAUAAGCCAUUUUUGAAAGAUGCCACGAUAUCACGUCUACAGUUGGCUCCCAGGGCAGCCAGGUGGGAAAUUGAGGACAGUUGCCUUUUUUUUGCUUUGCUUUUUAGAGCCGCACCUGCGGCACACGGAAGUUCCUAACUUUCGCAUCAGAGCUGUAGCUGCUGGCCUGCACCACAGCCACAACAAUGUGGAAUCUGAGCCACAUCUUCAACCUAUACCACAGCUCACAGAAGGGCCAGAUCCUUAACUUACUGAGCAGGGCCAGAGAUGGAACCUGCAUCCUCAUGGCUGCUAGUCGAGUUUGUUAUCACUGAGCCACAGCUGGAAUUCCGAGAGUUGACAUUUGUUAGAAUUCAGACUCAAGUAAGAUUCUUCUCAAUCCUUAAUCCCCCCUUAAUUUGGGGGACCCAGAAGCCACCUGGACAGGGAAGACGCCUGAGUUCACAGGUGAGUUUCAUGGGUAAGGGUAGUUAACACCUUGAAAUGCACCGGCAACUGAGGCAGAGAGAAAAUUCUCCGGCAGGUGGAGAAAGGUGUGACACAGGCUCCAGAGGUCCUUGCAAUCAGAAUUUCUGGUGGUUUGGGGGAAAUGCUGGGAGGGAAUACAAAGCUAGUGAGAGGCCACUUAAAUGGACCUUAAAAAAUUUUUUCUUUCGGUUAAAGUCCGAAAGCCAGCCUAUAAGGCUAAGGUGCUGGAAGUCGCUAGCCACCCGAGAAAAGGCAGUUAACGACAGGUAGUCCCAGGUUGCAGUGUUACCAUGAAGGCAGGGCCCAGAUUCAGAACAUCUGGACCACCAGGGCCUGCUUGAUGCCAGAAGAGCACAUUUUAAAACCCAUCCAAGAAAAUGUCACGUGACACAGUGAAAGGUAGGGAUUGGGGAUGCACUGGCCCCAGGGAGGGUGCAGGCAGCAUCAGCAGUGUUGACAGGCUCCAAGGGCCACUUUACGGGCCUCGGUUUUGCUGAGCGGUCAUUACUGAUGAUGCGCUGGUCCUCACAGUGGGAAAUAACUGAGACGAUCCUGCAACAUCUGCGCCGAGGUUUCAGUACAACACCGUGAACGUCCAGGAGAUGGAGAGAUAGGUGGGCAUCUGAGACAACUCUGGGGAAAUUCAGUUGACGGUAAGCCAGGGAGGAGGCUACGGCACUACGGAAGCAGAGAACAACGUGGAUUCGAGCUUGAGAGCGGAGAAAGGCAGAAUUAAGAAGCGGGAGGGGACUGUCUUGCCACGUACAGUGGCUUCAGACCUGACACGACACUUUUAGAGGGAUGGUGAUGACCCAGAGCACUGGCCAGGCGUGCAGAGACCCCGGGCAGCAGUGGGUGUGUUCAGACUGAGAGAGAAAUGGCCCAGGAGCUUCCAUCUCUGUGCAUCUACAUGUGCUGUCUUGUGCAUAAAUCAGAGUCUUGUGCAUAAAUCAGACUUGUUGAGAAAGGCCCCCGAGAAGAGGAGCGGAGGAGAUGAGUGGAGACAGAUUUCAGUGUGAUGAAAGGAAAACAUUUGAAGCAGCGAGAGCUGAGCUUUCCAACUAUGGGUUUGGCUGCCUUGGACUCAAUGAAUCCAAAAGGUGUUCAACAGGGAAAAAAAAAAAAUCAUUCCUGGAGUUCCCAUCGUGGCUCAGUGGUUAACGAAUCCGACUAGGAACCAUGAGGAUUCGGGUUUGGUCCCUGGCCUUGCUCAGUGGGCUAAGGAUCCAGCUGCCGUGUGGGUCGCAGAGGCAGUUCAGAUCCCGCAUUGCUGUGGCUCUGGCGUAGGCCGGUGGCUGCAGCUCCGAUUCGACGCCUAGCCUGGGAACCUCCAUAUGCCGCGGGAGCGGCCCUAGAAAUGGCAAAAAGACAAAAAAAAAAAAAAAAAAAAAAAAAAUCAUUCCUCUGCCCACAUUCUCACAGAUGCAAUGACCCUUACCCUCCUUUUUUUUUUUUUUAAUGAUUUUAAUUUUUUCCACCGUAGCUGGUUUACAGCGUUUUGUCAAUUUUUUACUGAAGAGCAAGGUGACCCCCGUCACAUGACCCUGUUCACGUCACUUUCUUUGUGACACGUAUCCUGCAGAGGGGCCUUGUUUGUUUAUCUGUUGACUGGUUCAGAGUUUCUUUUCUAGGAGAAGGUAAACUCCAGAAGAAUCAGAACUCUAGAAGAAUCGGGUCUUGUUUCUUGCAGUGUCCCUAAAACACAGAACAGUGCCUGGCACAUGGCAGGUGGUCAAUGAAUAUUAGUACAAAGUAAGGGAAGGAUGAGACUUCAUCACUGUUUGAAUGGUAGUUCUUAGCAUUACCUCUAAAACCUUAAAAAACAUACAUG